GAUGAACGCUGGCGGCGUGCCUAAUACAUGCAAGUCGAGCGAACGGACGAGAAGCUUGCUUCUCUGAUGUUAGCGGCGGACGGGUGAGUAACAUGUGGAUAACCUACCUAUAAGACUGGCAUAACUUCGGGAAACCGGAGCUAAUACCGGAUAAUAUUUUGAACCGCAUGGUUCAAAAGUGAAAGACGGUCUUGCUGUCACUUAUAGAUGGAUACGCGCUGCAUUAGCUAGUUGGUAAGGUAACGUCUUACCAAGGCAACGAUGCAUAGCCGACCUGAGAGGGUGGUCGGACACACUGGAACUGAGACACGGUCCAGACUCCUACGGGAGGCAGCAGUAGGGAAUCUUCCGCAAUGGGCGAAAGCCUGACGGUGCAACGCCGCGUGAGUGCUGAAGGUCUUCGGAUCGUAAAACUCUGUUAUUAGGGAAGAACAUAUGUGUAAGUAACUGUGCACAUCUUGACGGUACCUAAUCAGAAAGCCACGGCUAACUCCGUG
rnacentral:rRNA from 1 species